GGACGACGCUGGCGGCGUGCCUAACACAUGCAAGUCGAACGGGGUCCAAGGAAGCUUGCUUCCUGACGACCUAGUGGCGAACGGGUGAGUAACACGUGAGAAACCUGCCUCGGAGUGGGGAAUAACUCGGGGAAACUCGAGCUAAUACCGCAUACCUUCAGAUGAUCGCAUGGUCGACUGAAGAAAGAAUUUCGCUCUGAGAGGGUCUCGCGGCCUAUCAGCUUGUUGAUGGGGUAACGGCCUACCAAGGCAACGACGGGUAGCUGGUUUGAGAGAACGAUCAGCCACACUGGGACUGAGACACGGCCCAGACUCCUACGGGAGGCAGCAGUGGGGAAUCUUGCGCAAUGGGCGAAAGCCUGACGCAGCAACGCCGCGUGCGGGAUGACGGCCUUCGUGGUUGUAAACCGCUUUCAGCAGGGACGAAAUUGACGGUACCUGCAGAAGAAGCCCCGGCUAACUACGUG
rnacentral:rRNA from 1 species